UCCGGCUUAUCACCGGCGGUUUCCUUAGAGUGCCCAACUAAAUGAUGGCAACUAAGGACGAGGGUUGCGCUCGUUGCGGGACUUAACCCAACGUCUCACGACACGAGCUGACGACAGCCAUGCAGCACCUGUGUUCCAGUCCCCGAAGGGAAGAAAUCCAUCUCUGGAAAUCAUCCGGACAUGUCAAAUCCAGGUAAGGUUCUUCGCGUUGCAUCGAAUUAAUCCGCAUGCUCCGCCGCUUGUGCGGGCCCCCGUCAAUUCCUUUGAGUUUUAGCCUUGCGGCCGUACUCCCCAGGCGGGGCGCUUAAUGCGUUAGCUGCGGCACGGAGGACGUGGAAUGUCCCCCACACCUAGCGCCCAACGUUUACGGCAUGGACUAC
rnacentral:misc_RNA from 1 species